UAUACAAUAUACUAUAAUAUUAAACGAAACGUAUACAGUUCGAUAUUUUAUUAUAUUUAGCGUCCGGACGAAGGAAAAAAAAAUGAACAUCUGCAGACAAUGUGGUGUUGGUUUUGGCGGGAAUCCGACACUGUUACUGAACUCGACGGAUACCCAAUGUUGUUCCGUACGCGUUUCUAUUACCCACGUGUGUGUACGUGUAUAUAAUAAAUGAGACGUACAAAUCGUUGUAUAUAAUACUUACACGGCUUUAAACGUUGUUUGUUUUACGCCAUUCCGGAUACUGAUAAAUGAGAAGGGACAUUUUUCUCAUGUAAGAACAAUAAUUGUUCUUAUGCGUAUUAGAUACAUUUAUUGUAAUACCUAUACCCAAUAUUGAAAUUGGUCAAAAUGUGUUAAAAAUGGAUUUUAAAAACAAACGACAUACUUCGCACACGAUGGAUGGGCCACUGUUGUUGGCAGUGUUGAAUCCAGGUAUAUGUCAGAGGGGGAGCAACAACCCAAAAUAGGUAAGUAAAAAAAAAAAAAAAAAAGGGUAUUACUAUAAUUUUAGUAAUGCACCCUUUUGAAAAAUCGUCUGAAUUCAACACUGGUUGUAGGUGACAAGUUGGGAAGUUAGAGUGGAAAUGUAAUGUUUAUCUGUCUGCAACGAUUAAAUUUUGCUAACGAAAAACGAUUCUGAGCAGAGUUCGGUUGUAUAUGUUUUGAAAGACCGUAAUAUUUACGAUUUGAAAAUAAUAAAUUUCGUAAAUUAUACAGUUUUCACAUUCAUUAUGAAAAUCCUUGAGAAAAUAAAAAAAAUGACCUCCUAAAGUUCCCAAUCAGAUAUUUUCUUUUAGAAAAAGUACUACUUUCGAAAAUCGGAUCAAAAUUUCUGGUAUAGAAGGUGUUUACAGAUCAAAAAAAAUAAAAUAAAUAAAUAUCAUUGUAAAACCAUACGUUCUUCGCUCCGCUCAGAAUCUAAAAUCCAAAUUCUAGAUUUUAUUUAAAAUUAAUAUUAAAAAUCCAAUUUUUCAAAAUGUAUAUAGACAGUUAACUAAUUAAGUGAUACGAUUAAAAAUCGUAGCUUCAGUAAAUAAUAUUUGAUACGGACUAUAAUUUUAAAAUAUUAAAAAAUUAGUAAAGAAUAUGUACACAUCUAAUAACAUUAGUCAAUUAUCUGUAAAUAAUAAAUUAUUAUUAAUCAUCAUAGUUAUUAUG